CGAACGGGUGAGUAACGCGUGAGGAGCCUGCCUCAAAGAGGGGGACAACAGUUGGAAACGACUGCUAAUACCGCAUAAGCCCACGACCCGGCAUCGGGAAGAGGGAAAAGGAGCAAUCCGCUUUGAGAUGGCCUCGCGUCCGAUUAGCUAGUUGGUGAGGUAAUGGCCCACCAAGGCGACGAUCGGUAGCCGGACUGAGAGGUUGAACGGCCACAUUGGGACUGAGACACGGCCCAG
rnacentral:rRNA from 1 species